rnacentral:rRNA from 1 species
CGGGGGGGGCAAGCGUUGUUCGGAAUUACUGGGCGUAAAGGGCUCGUAGGCGGCCAACUAAGUCAGACGUGAAAUCCCUAGGCUCAACCUAGGAACUGCGUCUGAUACUGGAUGGCUUGAAUCCGGGAGAGGGAUGCAGAAUUCCAGGUGUAGCGGUGAAAUGCGUAGAUAUCUGGAGGAAUACCGGUGGCGAAGGCGGCAUCCUGGACCGGCAUUGACGCUGAGGAGCGAAAGCUAGGGGAGCAAACGGGAUUAGAUACCCCGGUAGUCCUAGCCCUAAACGAUGAAUGCUUGGUGUAACGGGUAUCGAUCCCUGUUGUGCCGAAGCUAACGCAUUAAGCAUUCCGCCUGGGGAGUACGGUCGCAAGGCUG